GGCUCGCAGCUGCUCCCCCGCAGCCCCGCGGUAACUCUGGCCGGCCCGGGGGCGGGAUCGCGGAGGGGAGGCCGGCAAAGUAGAUCGGGCCUAACGGUGGAGGGCACCGGACACUAGGCAUGGCAGUUUGGGCACCACGGGAGCUUGACCGAUGCGGCCCUGGCAAAACCCACGUUUGCCGCGCUCUCUGCUGGGGGGCCCCCCUCUCCGAGCGCGUGAGCCCCGGGACGCCUUCUUUCGGGAGAGCAGGUGGAGCCGACUGGGACUGACUCGGGAGCGAGCAGGAGCUCGGUACCAACCAGCUGGACAUCAGUCCCUCCCCGUUCCUCCAGCCCCGUGCUGAUGGGUACUACCUGGAGAAGCAAGUGCUUUCAACAUUGCUGUACCAUCACGGUGAACCGGUGAAGCUUCUGAGAUAUUAAGCAAUCCAUAACAUUUGUGACCGGUUAACUUUAAUUUGUCAAAAUAAAUCUGCAGUAUUUUGCAUGUUAGUAAUACAGUGCUGGUAUUGACAGGAAAAAUCAUCAUCUGCUUACAUAGAAACCUUCGUUUAGGAGCACACCUUAGGAGGGAAAUGGAUAUACAAUAAAAGGCAAAUGCAGGCCAAGCAGCGAGCCCUAGAGCAUAACAGGCUGAUGUCAGAUUUGAGGAUUAUCUAAUACAACUGUUUAGCUGCCAAUCUGAUAAAGGGAAGCUCUCAACCAGGUUACAACCAGAAGGGAAAAAUAAACUCUGCUUUUCUCGUAGCGCGGUGGCCGUCGUGCCUUCAACACUUGGUUGAAUCAGUUCAUCAGCAUCAAAACUCAAUUCCAGUUCCAAGACACAGGAGAAUCUUACCACACAACCUAUCGCCACCCCCCCUUCAGUGGCCCGCCGCCACCCCCUUCCUGCCAACUCUCUCCCUCCCAAAAGAAGACACGACGUGGCUUUAUUAUUGCAGACAAGCUUCUUAAGUGAAUAAAGAAUGCAUACAAAAUAGCAUUUUAACUGAACUCAUACAAUGAAGUCUCACUCCUGUUUAUUAUACAAUGAAUUGAUAAAACAAUCAUUUCUAGUAUAUAUCUUUUUUUUUUUUUUUUUUUUUUUU